GUAUUUCUGCGUCUGGAUCUGCACUCCUGCUCUGCUGUCUGAUCUACUGCAGAUCUCCUACUAAAGACACAGUCUUCCGUCUUCAGAUGUUUCUCGUCUUCUGUCCAAAUGUUCUGAUGUCUCUAGCGUUUGUCCUCUGGGGUGUUUCUGAAGGAUCUCUGUUUGAGUCGGUCUCUUGUUGUGCUCUUUAUUUUCUGAGGCCUCUCAUGUUGCUCUGGACGGCUCCGUAUGUUAAUGAGUUCACAGGUGAUUCAUUACUGACAGUUUAUGAGAGAAAAUAUGCUUCAUGAAUUAUAAUA
rnacentral:lncRNA from 1 species